rnacentral:rRNA from 1 species
AUAGCGUAUAUUAAAGUUGUUGCAGUUAAAAAGCUCGUAGUUGGAUCUCGGGUCCAGGCUGGCGGUUCGUUUCGCGACGACACUGCCCGUCCUGACCUACCUGCCGGUCGUCUCGUCGUGCUCUUCGCUGAGUGCGUCGAGUGGCUGGAACGUUUACUUUGAAAAAAUUAGAGUGCUCAAAGCAGGCCGUUUGCCUGAAUAACCGCGCAUGGAAUAAUGGAAUAGGACCUCGGUUCUAUUUUGUUGGUUUUCGGAACUUGAGGUAAUGAUUAAGAGGGACAGACGGGGGCAUUCGUAUUACGGUGUUAGAGGUGAAAUUCUUGGAUCGCCGGAAGACGAACUACUG